AGCAGGCAGCCAAGGAAGCAGCUGCAGCAGCUAGCAAGAAAGCUUUUGAGGCAAAAUUUGAAAACUGUUCGGAGGAUAUACUAGCGGCAAGAGAGCUUGCUGCAUCUUCUACUGAAGCUGUGGCAAAAUCCAAAAAGGAAAUGAGACAGAAACGAGCUUAUGAGGCAAAAAAUACAAGGCCAGCUCAAUCUGCUGCAGAGGCCUUUGGCCAAAUGUCUAAUAAAAAAAGGAAUUUGCAGGGUCUCAAAUCUAAAGUCAAUUUUGAACUCCUGAAUGAAUUGUUUGAUGAAAUGGAAAAUACCGAUGGUCUCAAGAAACAGAAGAAA